rnacentral:rRNA from 1 species
UACGUAGGGGGCAAGCGUUGUCCGGAUUUAUUGGGCGUAAAGCGCGUGUAGGCGGCCACGCAGGUCCGCUGUGAAAACUCGAGGCUCAACCUCGAGCUGUCGGUGGAAACCGCGUGGCUAGAGUCCGGAAGAGGGGACUGGAAUUCCCGGUGUAGCGGUGGAAUGCGCAGAUAUCGGGAGGAACACCCGUGGCGAAGGCGGGUCUCUGGGCCGAUACUGACGCUGAGGAGCGAAAGCGUGGGGAGCGAACAGG